ACAUAUUGUAUCUGAAAGGGAAUAGAUUCUUACAGGUUUUAUUUGUGGGGAANNNNNNNNNNNNNNNNNNNNCCCUCCUUCCUGUUUUCCUACAAAAACAGGCCAACACCAACCCCCUGCCAGGUGCUCUGCAGGGCCCCGCUCCGGCCACAGAUCUGUUGCCUCCCUGCAUACCUGAGCAGCAAGAUGUGAACCUCGGGGAGACUGAAUGCUGAAGGAAAUGGGUCAGAAGCAUUGAGCUGCAUGGGGACAGAGUCUGGAUUCCCCAGCAACACCAUAAGUUCAGGAAAUUUCUUCUCUUCCUGCCUUGGGCAAAAAUGGAGUUAUGGAAAUGAAAAUAUGCACAUAAUAUUAAAGGAGAAAAUCUUUGUCCAAAAGGAAAUUAUAAAGAAUGCUUCAAAGGUAGAUGAAUUGUGUUUUAACUACUAAAACUUUACUCCGCAGUCUCUGCUUGUGAGAACUAAACUCCUUUUGAUGAGAAAAGUGCUUUCUUUAGGUCUUGUGUAAUUAGUCUGGGAAAUGAGACAGAUGGAUUUUGAGGUGACGGUGGAAUGUGAAGGUUAAAUGUUGAAAUCUGACCAGCAGUGUUUGGAGGACAAAGAGAUGGCUGAACAGGAGGGGCUUCUGCAGCUGCCAGCACAGGUAGGCUGCAUUCUUCUGCCAGAAUGAGACUCUCCA
rnacentral:lncRNA from 14 species